GUCAGGAUGGCUGAGCGGUCUAAGGCGCCAGACUCAAGUUCUGGUCCACGAAUGUGGGCGUGGGUUCAAAUCCCACUCCUGACA
rnacentral:tRNA from 1 species